rnacentral:rRNA from 1 species
UACGGAGGAGGCAAGCGUUAUCCGUAAUUAUUGGGCGUAAAGCGUCCGCAGGUGGCACUUCAAGUCUGUCGUCAAAGACUGGGGCUUAACCCUGGAAAGGCGGUGGAAACUGAAGCGCUAGAGUGCGGUAGGGGUAGAGGGAAUUCCCGGUGUAGCGGUGAAAUGCGUGGAGAUCGGGAAGAACAUCGGUGGCGAAAGCGCUCUACUGGACCACAACUGACACUCAGGGACGAAAGCUAGGGGAGCGAAUGGG